UAAAAUAAAGCUGAGAGAUCAGAUUCAUUCUGUCCCUAUCUACUAUCUAGCGAAACCACAGCCAAGGGAACGGGCUUGGAAUAAUUAGCGGGGAAAGAAGACCCUUUUGAGCUUGACUCUAAUCUGGCAGUGUAAGGAGACAUAAGAGGUGUAGCAUAAGUGGGAGAUAUUAGAUUUCGGUUUGGUAUCGACAAUGAAAUACCACUACUCUUAUUGUUUCCUUACUUACUUGAUUAAAUGGAACGUGUAUCAUUUCCUAGCCAUUAUACGGAUAUAUUUAUUAUAUCUUAUGGUAUUGGGUUUUGAUGCAAGCUUCUUGAUCAAAGUAUCACGAGUUUGUUAUAUAAUCGCAAACAAAUUCUUUAAUGAGAAAAUGCAUUUAUGUAUUUUCAAUUUGAAAAUUUGGUAUAACUCCAAUUACUCAGGUAUGAUCCAAUUCAAGGACAUUGCCAGGUAGGGAGUUUGACUGGGGCGGUACAUCUCUCAAAUAAUAACGGAGGUGUCCCAAGGCCAGCUCAGUGCGGACAGAAACCACACAUAGAGCAAAAGGGCAAAUGCUGACUUGAUCUCGGUGUUCAGUACACACAGGGACAGCAAAAGCUCGGCCUAUCGAUCCUUUUGGUUUAAAGAGUUUUUAACAAGAGGUGUCAGAAAAGUUACCAUAGGGAUAACUGGCUUGUGGCGGCCAAGCGUUCAUAGCGACGUCGCUUUUUGAUCCUUCGAUGUCGGCUCUUCCUAUCAUUGUGAAGCAAAAAUUCACCAAGCGUUGGAUUGUUCACCCAUGCUAGAGAACGUGAGCUGAGGUUUAGACCGUCGUGAGACAGGCUACCUUUUACCCUACUAAUGACAAAACGUGGCUUGCGACAGCAUUCUUGCGUAGUACGAGAGGGAACCGCAGGUACGGACCGAUGACACAAUACGUUGUUCGAGCGAACAGUGGUCAUGACUGCUACGUCCGUUGGGAUAUGACCUGAACGGCCUCUAAGGUCCG
rnacentral:ncRNA from 1 species